GAUGAACGCUGGCGGCGUGCUUAACACAUGCAAGUCGAACGGAAAGGCCACAGCUUGCUGUGGUACUCGAGUGGCGAACGGGUGAGUAACACGUGGGUGAUCUGCCCUGUACUUCGGGAUAAGCUUGGGAAACUGGGUCUAAUACCGGAUAGGAAUCACAUGUGGGUGUGUGGUUGGAAAGCUUUUGCGGUAUGGGAUGAGCUCGCGGCCUAUCAGCUUGUUGGUGGGGUAAUGGCCUACCAAGGCGUCGACGGGUAGCCGGCCUGAGAGGGUGUACGGCCACAUUGGGACUGAGAUACGGACCAGACUCCUACGGGAGGCAGCAGUAGGGAAUAUUGCACAAUGGGCGCAAGCCUGAUGCAGCGACGCCGCGUGGGGGAUGACGGCCUUCGGGUUGUAAACUCCUUUCGUCAGGGACGAAGCGAAAGUGACGGUACCUGGAUAAGAAGCACCGGCUAACUACGUG
rnacentral:rRNA from 1 species